UUCCAUCAUAUAUUAGCAAGGAUGCUUUCAUGUGUGAUUCUUUUUUUAGAUGACCUUGACCCUCAUUAAGAGCAAAAUAUUUCACGGCACAAAAACAGAAACUGUUUUAAGACCAGAGGAGCAUAAUACGUAAUCCACAAAAGAGCCAAGAAGCAAACCAUCACUCCACUAUAUAACCACUACCUCUGGUGUUCAUUUUCCAUCCCAGAGACUAUUUGCUUCUUCUUCUUUCUUUCUAAGCUUUUCUUCUCUUUCUUUCUAAGCUCCCCUUGAGAUGAGUCGUUUUUGCUUCUCUUAAAAGAACAAAACCAAGUCACAGAAUAACUUGGUCGAGUUAGGCGAGAGGGUUCUGAGGAAAUCUGACCACACUUGCAACGCAAGGCAGUGCACUCUUAGUUUUCCCGAUCCUUAGGCGAGAGGGUUCUGAGGAAAUCUGACCAGACUUGCAACGCAAGGCAGUGCACUCUUAGUUUUCCCGAUCCUAAAGCGUUGAAGAAGCAUGUUUCGGAAAAACAUGUGGAGGAGUUUGAGUGCGUUUGUCACUACUGUGGUGUCGGCCUGAAAAAUCACGACGAUGUAAAGGAACACGGCAAUAAGUGGAGUGUCGAGAAAAAGAGUACAAAGAGGAAGCAGGCGACGACGAACAAGCAUAGGCAAGAUCGUGGAAUAUUUGAUCCAGUUAAGUACGUGUAUUCCGACGACGAAGAAGAAUCAGGAAAGAAUAAUUUCGUCUUUCCGUAAGUUUUAUACUUUAAUUUCUUAGGGUUCUAUUUUCGUAAUUGUUAUCUAGUAGUGUGUGUAGUAAUCUAGCU
rnacentral:lncRNA from 1 species